AUUGAACGCUGGCGGCAUGCCUUACACAUGCAAGUCGAACGGCAGCACGGGUGCUUGCACCUGGUGGCGAGUGGCGAACGGGUGAGUAAUACAUCGGAACGUACCUUAUCGUGGGGGAUAACGCAGCGAAAGCUGUGCUAAUACCGCAUACGCCCUGAGGGGGAAAGCGGGGGAUCGCAAGACCUCGCGCGAUUAGAGCGGCCGAUGCCUGAUUAGCUUGGUGGUGGGGUAAAAGCCCACCAAGGCGACGAUCAGUAGCUGGUCUGAGAGGACGAUCAGCCACACUGGGACUGAGACACGGCCCAGACUCCUACGGGAGGCAGCAGUGGGGAAUUUUGGACAAUGGGGGCAACCCUGAUCCAGCAAUGCCGCGUGAGUGAAGAAGGCCUUCGGGUUGUAAAGCUCCUUUGUCAGGGAAGAAACACCGGCUCUAACACAGUCUGGGAAUGACGGUACCUGAAGAAUAAGCACCGGCUAACUACGUGCCAGCAGCCGCCGUAA
rnacentral:rRNA from 1 species